AUGGUCGCGCUCGCGCAGCCACCUUCCGCGGUCAAGGGACCCAAAGGAGAGGCCGAGAGGAAACGGAGCGACGCACAGGGAAGAGGAGGAAACGGCGGCGGCGGUGCAGGUGGCGGGGGUGGAGGUAGAGGGAAGAAGCAGAAGAACAAGGAGGUUUUCAUCUACGGAAACUACAGGAACUACUACGGCUACCGAAUUGAUCGUAACGUUGGUGAAGAUCCCCGCCUUGAGAUAUUCAAGGAGGAGUGGUUUGCAGGCAAGGAUUGUCUCGAUAUUGGAUGCAACCAAGGUUUGGUCACAAUUGGUCUAGCGAUGAAGUUUGUGUGUCGAAGCAUCCUUGGAGUUGACAUUGAUAAAGGUUUGAUUGAAACUGCUAACUGGAAUUUAAGAAGGAUAUCUCGAACAGGCAAGGUGGCUCCGGAAAGUGCCAAGGUUCAUAACUCGUCAGACUCCACAACUCAGAGCUGUCGAGAAGAAGUGGUAUCUGAGAUGCCAAAUGGAGAUAUUCCUAAACACGAACAACCUGAUCUUUUUGAAAUUGUUUCUUUUCGGUCUGAAAAUUUUGUCCAGAGCACACACAGAUAUACAGAACAGUAUGACACCAUCAUGUGUUUGAGCGUGACAAAAUGGAUCCACCUGAACUGGGGUGAUGAUGGCAUAAUCACUUUGUUUGUGAAGAUAUGGAGUCUUCUAAGACCGGGAGGGAUUUUUAUCAUGGAGCCUCAACCUUGGACCUCGUAUAGGAAAAACAGAUUAGUGUCAGAGGUUGCCAAAGAAAACUUCAAUGAUAUCUGUAUAUAUCCUGAGAAAUUCCGGGAGAUACUUCUGGACAAGGUAGGAUUCAGGUCAGCAGAGGUGAUUACCAACAGAUUGGUUGGUUCUGUCGCUGGUUUUGAUCGCCCAAUUGAAGUUUACCACAAAUGA
rnacentral:rRNA from 1 species